rnacentral:lncRNA from 1 species
UUAUUUAUUUAUAAUAAAAGAUGCUAACUAAACCUCUAAUAACAUGUUAUGUGCAGUAUUUAUGAAACAAAGUUUAAGAACAUAUUAAGAACAUCUUCAGGCUGAUUUCUCACUAAUCACCCGAUAAAUAAGAACUAGAACUUAUAUGCAGGUGUUUGCUGCAGUUCUAAGCAGUACAUGUAGGUGUCUUAGGCUUCCAUGACAGACAGGUAUGAAGGAAGAUGAGUAGGUUCCUGUGCAUAAUGGUUCUUGGCAGCUAAAGCUAUUGGGUUAGUUAGAUAAUUCUAUGGGUAAGACAGGUAACCUUUUAUCUUAGUUUGUUCAGUUAUGCUCUCCAUAUUGUUUUUUCCUGUAACUGAUAUUUGACAAUGUAAUCCAUCUCAACAGGUUCUGGAACCUUCUUGUGUUUUAUCCGUUAUGCAUUCAUUUGAUUGUCAUUCCGGAGAAGUAGCAUCGGUUAGCAGCAGAGGCUCUGUGUUAGCCUCAUGUUCCAGUGAUCUCAGUGUUGGAAUAUGGAGACCCAAGAGCAUGCGACCAGGGUCGGCCUGAGAAUAUAACGUUGAUAUAUGACUUAUAACACGACUGCAACGUACAUUUAUCCAUUCGUCUGUAAAUAGCUAAAAAUGACUCAAGUAGUCAAUUUUCCGUUGGUAGCCAUUUGUGUCUGUUAUUGAAGGAAAAUAUUUCCAUGUUUUUACUCCCAAGAGGAGACAGGACAGGCACCUGGAAUGCUAGGAUGUCAAGUCUUGCUAGUCUUCAAAUACUGUUCUUUAUGUUAAAAAAAACUAUGUAUCUGUAUAACGCUAUUAAAGUUCUCUUAUGAAAGUUGAAAACCAUUUCGAUAAUCCCCCUACCACCCAGAAAAAAUGAGCCCCCGCCCCCCGCCCCCAUCUCCAAGCCUCAUUCGCUAAGACGCCCUCCCGAGUACAAUCUCUCCAUCCUGCCUAUGGUACGAAUAGAGAGUAUUAGGGCAGUAUGAGCGCUACAUGUAAAGAUUCGUACAGUAUACGUUACUUUUGGAUGAAAUGUGUUAUGAAGUGUUUAGAGCUCGAAACAAGCAAGUAGCGCGUAGCUUCGUCUGACAGCUUAAAAUAUGCCCAUUUAUAAAAAUCCAGUAUGACUGUGCCUUCGGCAUGUUCUUUAAGCGUUUGACCAGAAAAUGUACGCCUUAGACGAAUUGCGUUAUACGCUUAUCAGUAAGAGUAUCAGGCCUCCAUAGCAACUGUGAAAAGGGAACAACAACCAUGAACAGCUACUUCUCUCGAAAAGAUAAGUGCCACUUCACUACUUAGAAAAAUCUCUGGGCAAACCUUGUGGGGUACAGACAUGGCUAGAAAGUCUCGGCGUAAGCUGUUCCUGAAGGUGUCUGGUCGUUUAGCCCCCAACCAGAAGUCGAAAACACUGUCUAUUUCUCGUUCUUUAAAAUUAUUCUUUGGAGGGACAGGUGGAAAAAUUUUAAUCUUACGGCGAACAUUAUACCUCAAUUUUCUCCUGAAUUUGUACAAUGUUAAGAAGAAAACAAUUGGCAUCCUUAGUGGGGUACUAACAAACCUUUAGAAGUAAAUCAAGUGUCCGUACGAACUGAAAGUUCAAAAUUUUCGCGUUGUCUCCUGGCUCGUCAGGCGCCCCAAGGUUAGCCUGCGAACGCAGACUUAUUUCUGGCUGCGUUUCUCGAAGAAAUAUACCAUUUUCAGAGGGUUUUCUUUUCAGAGACAUUGAAAACUUCGUUAAAUUUAGGUAUUAGUUCUUCUGACCAAUGCGCACUCUUCUACCAUCGAACGCAUGUCUAAGCUCCUUUAAACCUGGGAACGAGUCUACUAUGGCCAAUAAAAACUUGCGUUACUUCCAGCGUCUCGAGUUACGUUCUGUGUAAACUACUGUAAGUGAGUCUUGUGAUGUCUCAGAGCUGGGAUUAAAGUCUUUUUCCUCAACGACAAAGAUCUGUCUCUCUUCUUUAGAGAAGUUGUUUUGAGGGCAAACCUGACCAGCCAUGUUGAACAAGGUUGUGUUGACUUGUGCAGUAAUUCUGAUCCUCCAGUUUAUAUCAACAGGCACAGCUGCUCCAUGUGACCCCAAAUGCACAGGAGGCCAGGGAUCAUGUCAGAGUAAUGGACGCUGUCUUUGUUGGUGGGGCUGGACUGGGCCUCAUGCAGCAUACAUCACAUCAGGGGUGCACAAAAACAGAAUACUGGCUGACAGAUGUGAUAAGGCCUGUCAUUAU